rnacentral:rRNA from 1 species
GUGAAAUAGAACCUGAAACCGUGUGCUUACAAAUAGUCAGAGCCCGUUAAUGGGUGAUGGCGUGCCUUUUGUAGAAUGAACCGGCGAGUUACGAUUUGAUGCAAGGUUAAGCAGUAAAUGUGGAGCCGUAGCGAAAGCGAGUCUGAAUAGGGCGAAUGAGUAUCUGGUCGUAGACCCGAAACCAAGUGAUCUACCCAUGUCCAGGUUGAAGUUCAGGUAACACUGAAUGGAGGACCGAACCGACUUACGUUGAAAAGUGAGCGGAUGAGGUGUGGGUAGCGGAGAAAUUCCAAUCGAACUUGGAGAUAGCUGGUUCUCUCCGAAAUAGCUUUAGGGCUAGCCUCAAGUGAUGAUUAUUGGAGGUAGAGCACUGUUU